rnacentral:rRNA from 1 species
AACGAACGCUGGCGGCGUGGAUAAGACAUGCAAGUCGAACGAGAGAAUUGCUAGCUUGCUAAUAAUUCUCUAGUGGCGCACGGGUGAGUAACACGUGAGUAACCUGCCCCCGAGAGCGGGAUAGCCCUGGGAAACUGGGAUUAAUACCGCAUAGUAUCGAAAGAUUAAAGCAGCAAUGCGCUUGGGGAUGGGCUCGCGGCCUAUUAGUUAGUUGGUGAGGUAACGGCUCACCAAGGCGAUGACGGGUAGCCGGUCUGAGAGGAUGUCCGGCCACACUGGAACUGAGACACGGUCCAGACACCUACGGGUGGCAGCAGUCGAGAAUCAUUCACAAUGGGGGAAACCCUGAUGGUGCGACGCCGCGUGGGGGAAUGAAGGUCUUCGGAUUGUAAACCCCUGUCAUGUGGGAGCAAAUUAAAAAGAUAAUACCACAAGAGGAAGAGACGGCUAACUCUGUGCCAGCAGCCGCGGUAAUACAGAGGUCUCAAGCGUUGUUCGGAAUCACUGGGCGUAAAGCGUGCGUAGGCUGUUUCGUAAGUCGUGUGUGAAAGGCGCGGGCUCAACCCGCGGACGGCACAUGAUACUGCGAGACUAGAGUAAUGGAGGGGGAACCGGAAUUCUCGGUGUAGCAGUGAAAUGCGUAGAUAUCGAGAGGAACACUCGUGGCGAAGGCGGGUUCCUGGACAUUAACUGACGCUGAGGCACGAAGGCCAGGGGAGCGAAAGGGAUUAGAUACCCCUGUAGUCCUGGCAGUAAACGGUGCACGCUUGGUGUGCGGGGAAUCGACCCCCUGCGUGCCGGAGCUAACGCGUUAAGCGUGCCGCCUGGGGAGUACGGUCGCAAGAUCAAAACUCAAAGAAAUUGACGGGGACCCGCACAAGCGGUGGAGUAUGUGGCUUAAUUCGAUGCAACGCGAAGAACCUUACCUGGGCUUGACAUGUAAUGAACAACAUGUGAAAGCAUGCGACUCUUCGGAGGCGUUACACAGGUGCUGCAUGGCCGUCGUCAGCUCGUGUCGUGAGAUGUUUGGUUAAGUCCAGCAACGAGCGCAACCCCUGUUGCCAGUUACCAGCACGUGAAGGUGGGGACUCUGGCGAGACUGCCCAGAUCAACUGGGAGGAAGGUGGGGACGACGUCAGGUCAGUAUGGCCCUUAUGCCCAGGGCUGCACACGUACUACAAUGCCCAGUACAGAGGGGGCCGAAGCCGCGAGGCGGAGGAAAUCCUGAAAACUGGGCCCAGUUCGGACUGUAGGCUGCAACCCGCCUACACGAAGCCGGAAUCGCUAGUAAUGGCGCAUCAGCUACGGCGCCGUGAAUACGUUCCCGGGUCUUGCACU